rnacentral:misc_RNA from 1 species
GGAGAUCAACCAGAACAAACAAAGUCAACCAGGCGUCAUUCUUCUUCUAAGGAAAACGGAGGGACUGAUUCUCCAAAGAAAUCCAGGAGUUCCCGGCGACACCACAGGAAGGACUCUGCUGACGGUUCCAAACACGGCAGGAUCCCGCUAGACUCAGCCGCUGGCUCAGAAUCUCCGGCAAGAGACCUGCCGGAUAUCCCCAAAAAAUCACGGCGGAAGAAGUCCAAGGAAGCCGACCCCAGCGGUACCAUCCCCGGAUCCCGAUCGUCCAAGUCAAAAGGCACUUCUUCUAGUACAGCUGCAGCACCAGCAUCGGAUCCAGGAUCUGAAGGUGCA